GAUGAACGCUGGCGGCGUGCCUAACACAUGCAAGUCGAACGGACGACUUUUGACGGAAGCUUCGGUGGAAGACAAAAGAAGUUAGUGGCGGACGGGUGAGUAACACGUGGGUAAUUUACCUUUUAGACAGGGAUAACACGAGGAAACUGGUGCUAAUACCUGAUGUGAUUGAGACGAGACAUCUCGACUUAAUGAAAAGAGGCCUCUCGAAGAAGCUCCUGCUAAAAGAUAAGCCCGCGUCUGAUUAGCUAGUUGGUAAGGUAAUGGCUUACCAAGGCGACGAUCAGUAGCCGGCCUGAGAGGGUGAACGGCCACACUGGGACUGAGACACGGCCCAGACUCCUACGGGAGGCAGCAGUGGGGAAUAUUGCGCAAUGGGGGAAACCCUGACGCAGCAACGCCGCGUGUAUGAAGAAGGCCUUCGGGUUGUAAAGCACUUUCAGUAGGGAGGGAGCGUUGUGUGUUAAUAGUACACAGCGUUGACGUUACCUACAGAAGAAGCACCGGCUAACUCUGUGCCAGCCGCCGCAGUAA
rnacentral:rRNA from 1 species